rnacentral:rRNA from 1 species
AUUGAACGCUAGCGGGAUGCUUUACACAUGCAAGUCGAACGAGUGGCGGACGGGUGAGUAAUAUAUCGGAACGUGCCCAGUCGCGGGGGAAAACUACUCGAAAGAUUGGCUAAUACCGCAUACUAUGGUAGCGGCCGAUAUCGGAUGAGCUAGUUGGUGGGGUAAAGGCUCACCAAGGCAACGAUCCGUAGCAGGUUUGAGAGGACGACCGGCAACACUGGGACUGAGACACGGCCCAGACUCCGACGGGAGGCAGCAGUGGGGAAUUUUGGACAAUGGGGGAAACCCUGAUCCAGCCAUCCCGCGUGUAUGAGAAGGCCUUCGGGUGGUAAAGUACUUUUGGCAGAGAAGCGGUAUCUGCAGAAUAAGCACCGGCUAACUACGUGCCAGCAGCCGCGGUAAUUC